rnacentral:rRNA from 1 species
GUCGAACGAGAGAAUUGCUAGCUUGCUAAUAAUUCUCUAGUGGCGCGGGGGUGAGUAACACGUGAGUAACCUGCCCCCGAGAGCGGGAUAGCCCUGGGAAACUGGGAUUAAUACCGCAUAGUAUCGAAAGAUUAAAGCAGCAAUGCGCUUGGGGAUGGGCUCGCGGCCUAUUAGUUAGUUGGUGAGGUAACGGCUCACCAAGGCGAUGACGGGUAGCCGGUCUGAGAGGAUGUCCGGCCACACUGGAACUGAGACACGGUCCAGACACCUACGGGUGGCAGCAGUCGAGAAUCAUUCACAAUGGGGGAAACCCUGAUGGUGCGACGCCGCGUGGGGGAAUGAAGGUCUUCGGAUUGUAAACCCCUGUCAUGUGGGAGCAAAUUAAAAAGAUAGUACCACAAGAGGAAGAGACGGCUAACUCUGUGCCAGCAGCCGCGGUAAUACAGAGGUCUCAAGCGUUGUUCGGAAUCACUGGGCGUAAAGCGUGCGUAGGCUGUUUCGUAAGUCGUGUGUGAAAGGCGCGGGCUCAACCCGCGGACGGCACAUGAUACUGCGAGACUAGAGUAAUGGAGGGGGAACCGGAAUUCUCGGUGUAGCAGUGAAAUGCGUAGAUAUCGAGAGGAACACUCGUGGCGAAGGCGGGUUCCUGGACAUUAACUGACGCUGAGGCACGAAGGCCAGGGGAGCGAAAGGGAUUAGAUACCCCUGUAGUCCUGGCAGUAAACGGUGCACGCUUGGUGUGCGGGGAAUCGACCCCCUGCGUGCCGGAGCUAACGCGUUAAGCGUGCCGCCUGGGGAGUACGGUCGCAAGAUUAAAACUCAAAGAAAUUGACGGGGACCCGCACAAGCGGUGGAGUAUGUGGCUUAAUUCGAUGCAACGCGAAGAACCUUACCUGGGCUUGACAUGUAAUGAACAACAUGUGAAAGCAUGCGACUCUUCGGAGGCGUUACACAGGUGCUGCAUGGCCGUCGUCAGCUCGUGUCGUGAGAUGUUUGGUUAAGUCCAGCAACGAGCGCAACCCCUGUUGCCAGUUACCAGCACGUGAAGGUGGGGACUCUGGCGAGACUGCCCAGAUCAACUGGGAGGAAGGUGGGGACGACGUCAGGUCAGUAUGGCCCUUAUGCCCAGGGCUGCACACGUACUACAAUGCCCAGUACAGAGGGGGCCGAAGCCGCGAGGCGGAGGAAAUCCUAAAAACUGGGCCCAGUUCGGACUGUAGGCUGCAACCCGCCUACACGAAGCCGGAAUCGCUAGUAAUGGCGCAUCAGCUACGGCGCCGUGAAUACGUUCCCGGGUCUUGUACACACCGCCCGUCACAUCAUGGAAGCCGGUCGCACCCGAAGUAUCUGAAGCCAACCGCAAGGAGGCAGG